rnacentral:misc_RNA from 1 species
GCUCAACAUCUAAUGCCAUAGAACAGGGAGCAUUGACAAGACUGACAACUCGAAUGUCUGGUUUUUGAAUGUUUAACUGGCAUGACUCGUCUCAGCUUUGCUGCAUUGACAAGGCUUUCAACUCGAAUGUCUGGUUUUUGAAUGUAUGACUCACUUUUUAUGCUGUGUAAGGUAGACAUCUUAAAGAGAUUUACAAAGAUGUUCUCCUUCUAGACUUCUCUGGGGC